UGUGGUUGUGGUGCUUUUGGCUGUUUUUCUACCGCUCCUACACAAGUGGAAGAAAAGAGGAAGCUCUAAUAAUGUGAACAGCAGGGCCCCCUUAACCAGCACAAACAUGGAGCCUGUCUAUGAGAAUUCUGCUCCAGUCUCCACAUUGGAAGACUACGAGAACGUCAAUCCAUCCUCCACCUACGAGACCCUUAAUCCAAUCACUAUGGAUGACCAGACGUACAGCACACUCAAUCGUGCCACACAGGAAUAGUUGUGGUUUAUUUUGAGGACA